UCGCGCAAACUUUGCAAUACACGAAAGUGUGACAGGGCUAUCCCGAGUGCCGCCCGCUGAGGGUGGCUUUUACCCAGUUUAGCAAGCUGGGAGAAUAAGGAGAGGGCAAGUCUGGUGUCAGCCGCCGCGGUAAUACCAGCUCUCCGAGUGGUGUGGAUGUUUAUUGGGCCUAAAGCAUCCGUAGCUUGCUGAGCCAGUCCCCUGUUAAAUCCAACGAAUUAAUCGUUGGUGUGCGGGGGAUACUGCUUGGCUAGGGGACGAGAGAGGCAGACGGUAUUUCCGGGGUAGGGGUGAAAUCCUAUAAUCCCGGGAAGACCACCAGUGGCGAAGGCUGUCUGCUAGAACGCGCCCGACGGUGAGGGAUGAAAGCUGGGGGAGCGAACCGGAUUAGAUACCCGGGUAGUCCCAGCUGUAAACUAUGCAGGCUAGGUGUUUGGGCGGCCACGUGCCGCUCUAGUGCCGCAGGGAAGCUGUUAAGCCUGCCGCCUGGGGAGUACGGUCGCAAGAUUG
rnacentral:rRNA from 1 species